rnacentral:lncRNA from 1 species
GUAUCAGAGUCUAUGUGAAUGAAGCCGAGUAAGCUGCCUCCACUCUGAGGUCUGCUCGUGUGUGUGUGUGUGUGUGUGUGUGUGUGUGUGUUUAUAACUACACAGGGCCUCUCAGCGAGCACGGAACUCACCAAGUUCAUUAUGCUAGCUGCCUGGGCCUCCUCUGCAACCCAUGUGCCGUGGAUGACUUGUUGACCAUGAUACUUCACAAAACUGCAAGAGUUCCUACCACAAGGCUGGCAUGAAUGUCGGGACCACUAGGCCUGCAGAAAGGCUUCAUGGCUAUGCAUCACAUCGGACUUUCUCAGCACAGCCAGGAAUGGCGUGGUUUCAGAGCAGAACCUGAUAUUCCUCUAGAGAAUGCAGAACGGGGUGCCUGGCAUCCCGCAUAUGGCCCUGCCUGGGAUGUAAACCAUGGCGAACUUUGAGGAUCCUCACGACUUCUGCUUUCCAGACAAAAAACCAAAGGUCUCCCUUGAAACGGAGCAAUUGAUCUAGGAAAAGACUCCACUGAGAAAAAAAGAAUGGCAAGAAAGAAGUAGGAGAACAUCCGAGACUUUGCUCUCCUGCACAUCCGCUUAACCCUAGGACGGCUGCCUUCCUGACACAUCUCAAUCCCUGCCCAAUCCCUGCCUGGAGGGAGGAGCCAGGGAAACAAUAUCUUUGCUAGGACUUGUGAGAAGGGACAUGCUUAUCUUCUUGUGGUUCUAGAUAGCCUUGUGUGGUUGAAACUGCCUAAGGAUCACAGUCGUGGGUCUGCCUCUCCACACUGCAGCUCAUGGCCACCUUCUAAGUUAGACUCUAAGAACCAGGAUUUAGACAGGGAGUCAUAUAAAACCCUGGCCCGACUAAUUCUGGAAGCUUUUCUGUCUAUUCCUGCCGUGUCAUUUAUGGGUCUGGAGAGAGCCGUAAAACCACGGAGCAGCAGCAGAUGAAUCCGGGCUAUUAGAGAAAACAAGGUGGAUUUGAGGGAUUUUUAUCCUCCUUAUCCAAAGGCUUUCUCUAAACCUAAACGCCCUAACUACCUUGAGCACUUGGAAAGAUCAUCUGUCUUCCUCCUGUGACUUUUUACUUACAAAGAAAACACGGCUCCAUGCCUUGAGCCCUUUGGGCCUUCUGCAGUUAAUGUUUUACGGUCUGAUAAUUAUGUUAUAAAAGUCUAAGCAAUUCAAACGUGCGCUUUAGAAUUAGGGUCUGAGAAGAGUGUUCAUUUCAGAAAGGCAGGGGAUGAAGUAGGCCCUGCUCCCCAUCCCUGAGCUGGAGGAUCAAGAAAAGUCUUUUGAAUAAGCCAGGGUGUCCAAACCACCCCUUGGUGUAAGCAGGGAAGCUGGGGUUGUAUCUCCAGCCAGGAUGCCAGGAUAGGGAUUGCGCAGGGAGAAUCGCUCAGUGAGUUCUGGAGGGGAGUCCAGGAGUGCAAAACAGAGGACGGGAGGGGGUCAAAGGGCUGGAGAUGCAGGGAGGAUCCGGACUCAUGGAAAACACACCCAUGAAUGUAAAGCACCAACAGGAAUGGAAGCAUCAGGGGAUAUCGGUUGGUUCGCACGGUAUGAGGCCAUGCGUGUGAUGGACUCAUGUCAGGAAACAGGACAGCAGGUUAGGCGAGCAUUCACCUGGAACCCCCUCCCUCCGGGCUACCAAGAUGGCUGUCCUGGAAGCCUGUCUCCGUGCAUCCUCCUUAGAAGGGAUCUGCUUGCAGCCUUUCCCUUAUUCCUCCUGAGUGUUUGUCCUUUGUCUCCCCACAAUGAGUGUGUUCAAUGAGCAUCCAUUACAGUUCCCCACCGUGGACGUAGCCUUUGUCCCUUAACUCAGAAAUGCGCCUGAGCUGAUCCGACUGGAACCUGCUGUCACUGAAGAGACAGCAUCUCCCCAUCCCCCUACAGUGUCCCAUCUUUAUCCAAAGACAGACAUCUGUAAAAACUACUGUUCUAAAUCAGACCACUGGCAAAAGUAGGAGUGUACGUAUCGUUGUUGGUUUAUUUUGUUUGUUUGUUUGUUUCACAAGUAUUUGCUUCCUUGCCUCCCAUGGAAAGAACAUCCAACGCAAGAAGUGCUUUAGUUCCCAUCUGAAAGUCUCUCUCCACAAAAGUACAGCACAUUCCCCAGGAUGGCUCUUCAGUCACACCAGCUCUCUUCUCUCCAUUUGGAUAUAUGUUCUCCAUUUCUCUCUUGACUGAGUGCUGACACAGCACCAGCAUUGCUGUAUAAACAAGUGUCCACAACUGGUCCUCCAUGGAUACGUCCAAGAAGCACUUGGACACCCCACUCUAGACAGCCGUCCCUCCAGGAGCCAUGUGGCAUCGAUGUUUAGCUUCUGUCUUUUUAAAUGACUCUCACCUGAGUGACGGACUGACUUCCAGGAAACCUGGCACCAUUUAUAAAUGACUAGCACACUGGUGUACGCCAGCACACACCCAGUCGGGAGCUGCGCUGCCCAAGGGGCUUACCAGCACAUAUCCAAUCAGGAGCUGCGCUGCCCAAGGGGCUUACCAGCACAUAUCCAAUCAGGAGCUGCGCUGCCCAAAGGGCUUACCAGCACUCAUCCAAUCAGGAGUUUCGCUGCCUGCUGGGCUUAUCAUCUGGGUUCUAUUUGCUGUCACUCGGAAACUUUCCCUUUCCACUCUCAUGUCCAUCUCUCUCUUUACAGGGACCCUGGUCCUGCUUUGCAGAACAGGAUGAAGACAUCAACCUGAUUCCGCCCUCCAGGGUUAGCGUGUCUGUGAUUGUCCAUCUGGCCACAGGUUCAGUCCAGACCAGACAGGCUUGUUGGAGGUGCUUUGAACUACAGUACUAUGACUCUGGCUUUCCAGGCAGAAGCCCCAUUUUCUCUUCCCACAGGAGAUAAUGCCAUAGACCUUGUGGGUGAUGACUGCUACCUCGUCCAGGGCUUCCUAAGAGAUGAGGAACGCAUUCCAUCUGGGACAGGAAGGUGAAGGCUAUGUGGAAACUGGUUCCUGUGACAGCUGUUAUUCCUGGGCUCUCUCAACCUUUGCAUUCCAGGAGCCUCCAGGACUGAUCUGGGUUUUCCCGUGAGCGAUACCAGCAGUCCAGUUCAAAAGUGUCACCAAACACGAAUCAGCAGCAGCAGUGGCAGGAUCCAGCAGAAACUGCCAGGCCUCCACCUAAACAGCAAGAGACAACGGGAUUGACCAGGACCAACUGGAAUGCCAGGAGUUCUCUGCCGUGCCUCUCUCCACGACAUGAAGAUCAGUGAAGAUGAGAGACCAAUGAAGAGUUGUACAGCUGGCUCUGCAGGUGCCUUGUCACUGUCUGUUGAGUCCUAUUUAUAUUCUCUCCAAACGUGACCUC